UGGACAAUGGGCGAAAGCCUGAUCCAGCCAUGCCGCGUGAGUGAAGAAGGCCUUCGGGUUGUAAAGCUCUUUCGGCGGGGAAGAAAUCGCAUUCUCUAAUACAGGAUGUGGAUGACGGUACCCGAAUAAGAAGCACCGGCUAACUACGUGCCAGCAGCCGCGGUAAUACGUAGGGUGCGAGCGUUAAUCGGAAUUACUGGGCGUAAAGCGUGCGCAGGCGGUUUCGUAAGACAGACGUGAAAUCCCCGGGCUCAACCUGGGAACUGCGUUUGUGACUGCGAGGCUAGAGUUUGGCAGAAGGGGGUGGAAUUCCACGUGUAGCAGUGAAAUGCGUAGAGAUGUGAGGAACACCGAUGGCGAAGGCAGCCCCCUGGGCCAAUACUGACGCUCAUGCACGAAAGCGUGGGGAGCAAACAGGAUUAGAUACCCUGGUAGUCCACGCCCUAAACGAUGUCAACUAGGUGUUGGGAGGGUUAAACCUCUUAGUGCCGUAGCUAACGCGUGAAGUUGACCGCCUGGGGAGUACGGCCGCAAGGCUAAAACUCAAAGGAAUUGACGGGGACCCGCACAAGCGGUGGAUGAUGUGGAUUAAUUCGAUGCAACGCGAAAAACCUUACCUACCCUUGACAUGUCAGGAAUCCCGGAGAGAUUUGGGAGUGCCCGAAAGGGAGCCUGAACACAGGUGCUGCAUGGCUGUCGUCAGCUCGUGUCGUGAGAUGUUGGGUUAAGUCCCGCAACGAGCGCAACCCUUGUCGUUAAUUGCCAUCAUUCAGUUGGGCACUUUAAUGAGACUGCCGGUGACAAACCGGAGGAAGGUGGGGAUGACGUCAAGUCCUCAUGGCCCUUAUGGGUAGGGCUUCACACGUCAUACAAUGGUCGGUCCAGAGGGUUGCCAACCCGCGAGGGGGAGCUAAUCUCAGAAAGCCGAUCGUAGUCCGGAUUGCAGUCUGCAACUCGACUGCAUGAAGUCGGAAUCGCUAGUAAUCGCGGAUCAGCAUGUCGCGGUGAAUACGUUCCCGGGUCUUGU
rnacentral:rRNA from 1 species